rnacentral:lncRNA from 1 species
GUCCCUGGAAUAGCAAAUAGCGAGGGACAGAUCGUAGAAGGAGCCUCGUUUCUUAGGGAACCUCCUCCCCAGUUUCACAAUUGUGGACGGGUGAGGCAUGAGCCCCUCUUCACUGUCUGACAGUCCGGGGAGGGACAUGAAUGGCCAAGAAGAAGAGGUGCAAUGUGGGUAACGACUGGUAAUGAAAGCCAGAUACACGGGGCUCUUCUCCCCACCACCUCAUAAGCGAGUGGAAUGACUUGGCAAGAAUUUGGCAUAGCCUUGCCUUUCAACAAGCUUCAAAGAAAAGCAGGACUCUAGCUUUCUGCCCUCGCCACUUAUCAUUUGCUUUUUCGUAUUGAAUAUUCACUUGCUAUCUUGCUUUGCUGGUUUUCCUGGCCCUUUAACAAACGGUAUCAGCCGUGAAGAUUUAGACCUUUUCGCAAAUCAUGUUUGUGUUUCAAAUGCUUAACCUGCGAUCUCAAGGUGCUGACUCAGUACCUGUGUUUGCAGACAUGUGGGCUGGGGGAAAGGAGGGGACAGGAACAGGAUCAACCUACAAAAGGCUUCAGGGUCCUGUCCCUGCAGAAGACAGCUGAAUUCUGCCUCUUAAAACCGAACAAAUGCCUUCCUUAUAGAAGAAAAGAGAAUCGAGAGGUAGCCUGAUUUUGUUUCCUCAGUUGCAGGUGAUAAUCAGAGCAGACUGGGUUCAGACAUUGUCCUGGCUGCUCUCAAAACAAAACAAAACAAAACCACAAAAAAGCAACCAAAACAAAAUCCCCUAUUAUUUUUGCAUUGUUGAUUAAUUUUUAACAUUAAAUUGUGUAUACUUCAUCUCAGAGUAAUAACUCAGGGUCCUCGUUUGACGAAUGAGAGAAGAAAGCCACAGAGAAUCUGCUCUUGUUUUUUGAGGUCGCAGUUGAUUAAAGGGCAGAAGUGGGAAGUCCCUCCAGUUCCUAUUCACCCCAUUUACAAAUGAAGGCACAGUAUUUGCAGGGGCGUGGUGCACCCUGGGAACACACAGGGCCUGGGCAGUGUCCAGGUGACACAAGCUGGGGCUUUCCAUCUGGAUUACAGAGCUUUGUGUUCUUUUAACCCUCCUCAUGCUUGAGGCAAGAGCACAGGAGGCAGCCAAGGAAUGGAAUUUCUCCUUUGUGCUUGGUAGGAAAUGAACGAGGUUCAGGUCUGUGUAAAGAUAGCCUGUGCUUUGCAAAAUAGAAUGAAGAUAAGAACAAAUGCCUAAGCGCCUUCCCCCAUACCUGGGGAACAGCGAGCCUGCUGAAUAAUGGACCCUUUGUCUUGCAGGCAGGAAUUUCCCUCCAUAGCCAAGUGCACUUGGCAAUGCAGGUAGAUACCGCAGCUUCCGGAAGGAGCCUGCAGGCCCAGGGCCUGCAGGAGCUGAUGGCAGCCUUGCCCUAGGAAUUGCUGAGGGUGGCUAGUGUUUUCUCAUGGGGUGGCUGUGCUUCUGCAAAACGCUUAGUUUUACUCUGAGCACACCUUGCUGUGAAGUUCUGGGGAGUCACAGCAAAUGAAGAAAAUGCAUAGGAUGUGUUUGUUCUUCCAGCUCCAGGAGGAACUUUUUGGCCAGUGAUUUCUACAACUCCUGCAUAGAAACAAAGGAACACACGGAGAGGAGAGGAAUGAAAAGUUUGCCCCAGCGAGGGGAGCUUAGUGCCAGAAAAUGAGGCUGGCACUGGGCCAGCAGCUUGGCGCUGCCCUUGACCGCUCUCUGUGGCUCGUUUGGGAAUGUCCCCCCAGCCGCACCUGGCCUUCGUGCUGUAAUUCACCAAGCCUUCCUAUCACAAGCCUUGAUAGGAAGUAAACAGGAAACUGUGAGUCAGGGAGCGUCUAAACACAGUCCCCCUGCCAGGCUAGCCUUGUGUUCGGGGAAAAUCCCCGUGUGCCUGGCUUUACUGAACCACAACACCGGCUCCUGGGGAAGAGCAGGCUCCCCAGAAAGCCCGGGACGGGGAGAGCGGAUGUAUCCCAGCAUCUCGGUGGUGAAGCCCUGCUAGGAGUGGCCUCACAGGCUGCAGAUGGAAACCGAGCUGUGACCUCCUGCAAAUCCAUUCUUGGCACCACCUGGGAGCCCUGGGUUUCUUUUGGGAUCUAUACAAUGUCAUUUUACCUUAAUCCACAAAAUGUUAAGAUCUCCGCCUAAGUCCUGUUUUGUUUUGUUUUGUUUUUUAAGUUAUUAUUAUUAUUAUUUUUCUUUUUAGGACCACACCCAUGGCAUAUGGAGGUUCCUAGGCUAGGAGUCCAAUCAGAGCUGUACCUGCCAGCCUACACCACAGCCAUGCCAGAUUCAUGCCACUUCUGCGACCUACAUACACCACAGCUCACCGCAAGGCUGAUCCUUAACCCACUGAGCGAGGCUGGGGAUCCAACCCGCAUCCUCAUGGAUCCUAGUCGGGUUGGUUAACCGCUGAGCCACCACAGGAACUCUGACCCCUAUGUCCUGUUGCUCUUGUGUUUAUUUUAAAUUGUCAUAGUUGGGGAGUUCCCUGGUGACUUAGCAGGUUAAGGAUAUGGUGUCAUCGUUGCCCGUGGCACGAGUUUGAUCUCUUGCUGAGGAAGUUCUGCAUGCUGCAAGAGCGCCCCGCUUCCCCUCUUCCCCCUCCCCCCAAAAGCCAUAGCUGGUUCAUCAUGGAUUAUUGCAUGAGUUUUGAUUUUUUUAAAAAAUAUCUCAUAAAAAUAUUAUUUAUCUUGAUUACUGAGUUGAGGGGGCUGUGCUUGGUGAAUGCGCUGAGGCUUUUAGGAGGCAUUCAAGAGAGAGAGGGAUAGUCCUAAGCCGCUGUUUAGGACAAAGAAGUUAGACAUCGCUGGCAUCUGUAUAAUAUUCUCUCUUCCAUGCUGUCCUGCGUGCAAGAUGUGAGCGGCUUAUCCUGGGACUUCAGGCAGGGCCAAAUGACAGCAAAAUCCAGCGAUCUUUUCUGAUGUUGAAGGCCACCUUGCCAGUCUUGGAGAUUUACAAAGCAGGAAGGUAAAGAAAGAAAUUUGCUCAGUGGCCCUGAUUUAUAACGUGACGAGGUUCCAAAGAUCUUUCGCCUCUAAAUCUUUACUUGUAUGGAGAUGGUGGGUUCCCUGCCCGCUCCACCCAUCCGGAGCCAAAUGAAACUCUUCUUAGUGGAAUUUAUGCCAUUUCAUAAAUUCUCUCUCUCUUCAGUGAAAACAGAGUCAAUUAGGAGAAGGGAAGUGGACAAAAGAAAGUAACAACCGCCUUGCAGUAGAGUUGGGUUUUAGGAAUAAUUUCCAUGAAAAAUUGUCCUGCUGAUAUUAGGUCUUGGGUCUUAAUGAGGGAGUCAUUUCCUUUUAAUCAUUGCUGUCUUAUAAACGUCUGUCUGGAAUGUGACCACGGGCAGGGGCUGGUGUCUGGCUGCUCCGCAGUCGGCCCAGGGGGAAAGGGUGGCCACAAGAUGUUCCCACCCUUGUGUGCCCUCAGGAAUUUGAAAAUAAAACUCAUGUGAAAACAAGAACAGCAACUGCCUUCUCACUGCAGCCAGAUGCCUUGGUUGAUCGUAUUCUGAAUGGCUCACUUUGGAAAGGACACCUCCUUUACCAGCCCUGCUGCCAGAGGAGCUGCCAUCUCUGUAACAAAUUACCUCUUAAACACUCAGACUCAACAAGCAAGCAUGAUUUUUAAAGAUUCGGGAGGAUUUUAGACUAAUUGAGAGAGAACUUGCCCACCUCGUGACAUGUUGCAUAUCUUUGCGGCGGCUCUUUUACUUCAAGGUGGUAAAAGGAGUGGUGACCAUUUCCCAGUGGGGGGAUUGCAGGUACAGAACGUUCACUGUUGCCAGAAUCACCCUCCAGUGCAGAGGAGUGGGGAGGAGGUUAGAGAGAAAGAUGGAGGAAAUGGACAUCUAGAAAGCAGAAAACCGGAGUUCCCACCAUGGCACAUCAGGAUUGGUGGUGUCUUGGGAGCGCUGGGAUGUAGGUUCGAUCCCGCACGCUGGGUUAAGGAUCUGGCAUUGUGGCAGCUGUGGCUGAGGUUGCAACUGCAGCUUGGAUCUGAUCCCUGGCUAGGGAACUCCAUGUGCCCCUGGGCUGCCAAAAAAGAAUAAAAAAUGAAGCAGAAAACUGAGAAAGUUCAUGGGCAGAGACUUUGAGCUUCGGAUUAGAUUGUUUGAGCAAGAAGAACUAUCCCUUGGAUUGUUAAAAAAAAAAAGAAGUGAACUUCAGACAAAUGGAAAGAUGUAUAUGGCUCUGUAGAGUAAGUGAUGCACUUAUGGAAUUUGUUCUCCUAAGUGCCAGUAGUGAUUGAAAUGUUAUAUUAUAAAAACUAAAAUUUACUGGAAGAGAGUUUGAUCGCAGGUCAGUAGCUUCGGAGCACAUUCCCCACCUUUUUAAGGUGCAAUCGAAGGAAAGGCCAGAGAAUUGUCUGUAGCUUGGGAACUCAGCAGACAGAGGUCAGAAGCUAUGAGGACUGGCCAACAUGGUCCACUCGGGUCUCCCUUUUAUGUGCCUCCUUUUACGUUAGAGUCUGGGAAGCAGGCUCCUUCUGGAAUAUCAGAUGCACUGGGUUCCACAAGUAGGGACCAAAGCAUUUGUGGAGGCUCUGGGUUUUCUUCAACAUCAUUUGCUUGAAAGGGUUGAAAGUCAGGUGCAAGGCAUCUAUUUUCCUACUACUUAGGGCACAGGUGUGGUCUAGCUUUCCAACAGGACUAGCAGCUUCCUGACAUCCAAAGUGGAGUCACAGUGGUCCAGGGUGGCCAGAAGCUUCACCCUUGUCAAACAAGCUCUGUAGUGUCCCACUUCUAUAGUAAAUAUUCAGCCCAAUGCUUCGACAAGCCAUUUAAUAAAUCUUUCUUUUUUUGGCCACACUCGUGGCAUGUGGACGUUCCCAGGCCAGGGACCCAACCCUUACCACAGCAGUGACCCAGCCACCACAGUGACAAUGCUGGAUCCUUAACCCACUGUGCCACAAGGGAACUCCCGUGUUUUGCUUAAAGCAGCCAGAAUCGGUUCAAUUCUCUGCAAGUGAACCCUGACUGAUAGAAGGGGUCUGAUUUGCUGUAUUUGUAGAAGCUGUAGUGCCGCCUCUUCAGUGCAUUUCAGAAAAUAUGACAAGUAGUGGUAGGUACAGACUUAUGACUUUUAGAGACGUGGCAGUGAACCGGAGAAUGAACUGGAGGUGUGGUUUUCCAGCUAUGUUCCCCAGAACCCUGGAGUUUUGUGGAGUUUUCUCUUCUGUAAAUAUUGCAGUUUCAUAUAAGAUUUCAUUUGGCAAAUGAGCCUCGCCAGACUGCUCACACACAGUAAAAAAACAGGAAGCAGACCAAGGGGCAUUGGAAAACAAAGCAAAAGAGAAGUUAUGAAGAAAUAUCCUCUCUACAACAGGAGUCCUCCAGUGCUAAUAUUUGGCUCUAUUGGGUGAAUCGAAAAGAUCGCUUCUCAGUUUGUUUGCACUUGAUGUAACACAUGUCCUGAAAGUUAAGUUUGUUUUUAAGUGAAUCCGUCUUGGAUUUGGGACUGGGAAGUAGCCCCUGAAAGGAAUACUUCAAGAAAUCCCCUGAUACCGCAAAACUGCUUUCUGUGAUACAAGUAACCAUCCGAAAUUUUCCUAAAGUUUCCAAAUGUUGCGGAUGUUCGUAUGUGAGGUUUUCUAAAAGAAGGGAGUGCUCAUCCAAGUUGGCUCUCCAAUCACCCAUCAGAAAGAAUGUUCUCGUAAAAGAUUGUGUGGACUCAGGAUUUGUUUGUACUUAGUUUAAAAAAUAAAGUUAGUCAGAUGUCUUUUGCAAUCCCUUGCUAUUAACAUUCCUGGGUUGAAACUUUAGAAUGGGUUUCUCAGACUUUGAGGAAAUGGUUUAGUUAAUGCAGUACCUGAGGGGUUCCAUGUCCUUUACCGACUUCUUGAGGUUUGCUUUGCAGACAGGAUGCAGGUGGGGAAGGCAUCAGUGAAGGUGAUUAGGAGCGCUGGUGGGAUCUGAGGGUCGGAGCCCUCCCCAAGCCACCGUUGUUUUCCAGGGUCUGUCCUUGGUUGGAGGGAUGCCAGUGAAAAGGCUUGGGGAAAAUUUGGGGUGUGCUAUUUCUGUUUCUUCCUUUACAGCUGGGGUGUUACUAAACCCAGGUCACCUUUAGGUAAAGUUAAUGGUAAGCAUUUCUCUACUACAGGUGGAGCUAUAGGGUUCAAUAACUGGAAAGGUGGUUUAAGUUUCCAAAGCUGUUUCAGAAAAUCAGUCUGCCAGUAAGCUAGUCUGAAAUAUUUCUCUCUGCCACAGCCGUGCAACCCCGUCCAAACCCAGAUACCUAGAUAAUGUUUAUGCUUUUGCUUUCUGAUGUAAAAAUACCCUUGUUCAAAAAAGAACUCUUCAUCAAGUUUCAUAAGACAACAGAAGAAAGUAAGGCAAGUUUUAUCCAUUAUUUAUACUUCACUAUACCCCAAAUAGAUUUGAUUUGGCUUAAAACAAUAAAAGUAGAAGAACCAUUAAAACAAGAAUUAAUGUAAGUAGUAGUUGUGUAUGGGUGCCAGGAAAAUUAAGAUAAGAAUAAUUACUGUAAUUGCAGCCAAGACCAAAAAAAAAAAAAAAA